rnacentral:misc_RNA from 1 species
CAUCUGUGCAACGCCGCAUACGCAAGCAAACAAGUCUAACAACAGAGACACGGUACAGCGCCGGCUGAGGCGAUCACCAUCACAGCCGAGUGGAAGCGGCGCAGAGAAGGCGUUGCACUCCCACACGCCCGCACGCGUGCAGAGGGUUCAGCUCAAGUGGAAGGGAGGGACAAGCGUCCAACGGCAUCGUCAUGAUAACCUUUUUGCUUCAGCUUUUCGCCAGCCUUGGGCUGCCGCUCGUGGCGUUUCUUCUCUACAGCCAUCUCGCCGACUCAGUCCACACACGCGGCAACGUCGCUGGAGGCGAUGCUGGCGCCGUGGACGACGCCAUCAUCUUCAGCCAACGGGUGCGGGCGGAGCUGGAGCAGCUCGAUGUGGCCUCCGCGCCUCCCUCAGCAGCGCCGGCGCAGUCUCCGCCGCCGGCACGCAUGACGCCCUCACCGGCAGUGGCGGUGCCACCAGCCCCCGUGGCAGCUGAGAUCUUGAUUGCCUACGCAACGCAGUCGAAGAACUCGCUGGCGCUGGCGCACAAACUGUUCUCACUCAUCACGGCACAGCUGCAGACAGCACCGCCGGCAGCAGCUGAAGAUGUCAUCUGCCCGCUCGUGCGGGUGAUGGAGAUGCGUGAAGAAGAAGUAGGCAUCAAGAACGUGUGCCGCGUCGACACGCUGCUGGAGCAGAACCAGUACGCACUCAUCAUCUUCAUCGCCAGUACGUAUACGGACGGCGUCGCGCCGCCGCGGUCACAGGCGUUCGAGGCGAUGCUGAAAGACGCCUUCGAGGACCACCGUAUCCCGCGCAACACUCUCGGCCGCAAGCGCUUCGCCGUCUUCGGUCUUGGUGACAUCGCAUACGGCGAGGAGCGCUUUAACGCCUUCGCCAAGAACCUGCACGAGUGGUGCCGCGGCCUCGGCGCACCGCCGUUCGUGGUCCCGCCGGUGUACGCGACGGAGGCGAAGACGCAGUCGCUCUUCCGCAUCUUCUCCACGGCGUUGCUGAAGUGGGUGAGUCGCGCCACCUUCCACACGGACGGCACGGUGACCGUCAAGAAGAAGUCCGAGAUGGUAGCGACCAGUCCUGCGGCUGCCAGUGCCACGGAAGCGCGCAGCUGCAAGGGUGGUAGCGCCACCGUCGCGACAGCGAACACCUCCAUCAUCUCCGCCGCGGCAGGGGGCACGUGCGGGAAGGAGGGUGGACCUUGUGCGUGCCAGCAGUCGUCGCAGCAGCUCUGCGGCAGCAGAGCCGGUGGAGACGGCGAUGAUGGCUGCGCGUGCCGCAAGGCAGACACGAUUGCCGACGGCGUUGCCGUCAGCAAGAGCGACGACGAUGACGACGACAGCAACGCGGAAAACGACGGUAUGGACGAUGUUGAGGACCUUGUGUGGGACGGCACCGACGACGCCGACUUCGACCUCAGCAAGGACCCGAGCGAGCUGCCCGAGCUGCUCUACCCGAAGCUGCGCCAGAACCUGGAGAAGCAAGGGUACCGCCUCGUCGGCUCCCACUCGGGCGUGAAACUGUGCCGGUGGACCAAGUCGAUGCUGCGUGGUCGGGGCGGGUGCUACAAGCACACCUUCUACAACAUCAACUCCUCCCAGUGUAUGGAGAUGACGCCGAGCCUGGCGUGUGCGAACAAGUGCGUUUUUUGUUGGCGCCAUCACACGAACCCCAUCUCGCGCCACUUUCGAUGGAAGCAGGACCCGCCGGAGCUGCUCAUCGCGCAAGGGAUGGCAGGACACUACCAGAUGAUCAAGCAGAUGCGCGGUGUCCCGGGCGUGACACCGGAGCGGCUGGCCAUGGCCAUGCAGAUCCGCCACUGCGCCCUCUCCCUCGUGGGUGAGCCCAUCAUGUACCCGCAGAUCAACGGCUUCUGUGAGCUGCUGCACCAGCACCGUAUCUCCUCCUUCAUGGUGACGAACGCGCAGUUCCCGGAGCAGCUGCGGAACUUGAAGCCGGUCGUGCAGCUGUACCUUUCCAUCGACGCCCCAACACCCGAGGAGCUGAAGCGGAUCGAUCGGCCGCUCUUCGAGGACUACUGGGAUCGCUGCCUCAGCUGCGUGAAGGAGCUGGCGAGGAAGCAGCAGCGCACCGUGUUCCGGCUGACGCUGGUGAACCAGUACAACACUGAGAACGUGAAGGCGUACGCGGACCUUGUCGAGAUGGGGCAGCCUGACUUCAUUGAGGUGAAGGGCGUCACGUACUGCGGCACAAGCAGCAACAGCACGCUGAACAUGAAAGACAACGUGCCGCGGCAUGACGAAGUGAUCGGCUUCUGCAAGGCGCUCUGCGCCGAGAUGGCGAGCCGGCACCCACACUACCGCACCCCGCAGAUGGACAAGGAAGAGGAAGGCGGCGGCGACGUGAUUGUCAUCCCGGCCGAGGAGCGCAACCGCCCAUACCACGUAGCGUGCGAGCACGAGCACAGCUGCUGCGUCCUCAUCGCACUCGACAAGUUCUUCUUCGAUGGUCACUGGCACACCUGGAUCGACUACGAGCGCUUCUACGACCUGGUUGAGUCGGGGCGCACGGACUUCACCUCGCUAGACUACGCCGCCGUGACGCCGACCUGGGCCACGUACAACUCAAAGGAGAAGGGCUUUGACCCCGAACAGACACGCGUGGUGCGCAAGAACGCGCGACCGACAACAGUGACGGCCAGCUGCUAGUCGCACAGGCUGCAGCAGAGCUGGCGUAUAACGAUCGUGGACGCGCAUGAUGCGGGCACGUGAGGACGGUGCCUUUCCUGCACACUUGCCUCAGUGCCCUUGCCUGUCUGACGCUUCGCCUAAGUCCUUAAUUCGAUGAGCGUGCCCUCGUGCACCUUUGCUAAACACGCAGCGCGAGGCGUCGCAGGAUGCCCGCGCACCUGCUCAUCGCUCGAGCGCGCGCCACUGUCCGAUACGGUCCGCCAAAGGGAAAGCGUCGUGGAGGUCGAGGAAGAGGGGGAGGGGGAAGGGUUUAAGAAGAGCUGCGGCGCGUCUCUUCCAACGGUCGUGUCGGAUGAGGCGGCUGUGGCUGCAACACUUCGCUCAUGUAAAGCGCGCCUCUCCCCUUCCUAUCGCUCUACAUCUUUCGCCGCCUCGAGCGGGGCGGAGCACGCGCGUGUGCCGGGCUGCGUGAGUGUGUGUGUGGGGGGGAGAGGGGUUGCUCAGCCUUGCACUCUUUUCCCCUCCGCCCUGCCUCCCAUGGCGCACACCCAUCUUCACGUGCGCGCACGCUGCUGAUCUUCUCCGCUUUCGCGCGGGUGUGCCGGUCGAUCUCUCUCGCUCUCGCUUGGCUCGCGUACAAGGAGCCCGAUGCACCCAUGCGCAGUGGCCCUUGGACUCGGUGCCUUGUUGCUGUUGGGCACAUCUUUUCCCCACCCC